ensembl:lncRNA
GUUCAUACUGAUGAUGUCAUUGUUGCAUUUGAAGAUGUUCUGUGCGUGCGUUUAACUGAAUUCAAACAGUUCAGUUAGAAAGUGCAUCACAGAGGGAGAGUUUUGAUGAACCCCGCUGCUGUGUAGGAGCACAGGACUGAUAUUGUACCAGUUUCUGAGGACGACUCUUGGCUGCAGCAGCAGUUGGCAGAGAAGUAUUUCUGACCUUUCCAUCCUCAUUAGGACACCAGCGGUGUCAAAAGUCACGAGACUGAAAUGUGUGACCGUAAAGAAAAAGAACACAAGCAUGAAAAGACUGUCGGCUCAAAAUCUCAGCAAAUGAAGCACCAUCAUCAGAAUCAAGGACAUGGUCAUCGCCACUACCACCAUCAGUCGGAUGACAAUGAUAGUCAUGACACCUAUUCAACAGCAGAGGACAGCAUCCUCCGUGAUCAUCACCGCAACCAUCAACGUCAGAAUGAUAAUGACAACAAUCACCCAUCUCACUCUCACCAUUACCACCGCAAGCAAAACCAUCAUCGUGUUUCUAUUUCAGACACUUCCUCAACUUCCUCAACUGGUUCCUAUUCAUCCUCUUCUUCUUCCUCUUUAUCAACACCCUCCUCCUCUUCUUCUUCUACCGCCUCUUCUUUUUCUUCCUCUUCUGCAACAUCUACCUCUUCUUCUAGCCUGUCCUCUGACAGCAGCAGUGAGAGUUUAGAUAGAUAUUCUCUUAGGAAGCCCCGGCAUUCACGGUCUUGUACUGACAUUUCUGGAAAACAGAAAUACUUGGAAGAAGGAGAAGACACAGCCCCGCUGAUACAUAAAAGAGCAAGCAGGUCAUCUGCCAAAGAGAAACAAGUGAAAGGAAAGGCCUCUCACAGUGGCGCAACCCUGGGAUCAACCUUGAAGAGCACAAAGAGGAUUACGAGAGGCGCGGGAAAUGAUGGAAGUUUCCGCAAAGCCAAAUCAAUGGAGGCUCUCAGCACACCCAAAGAAGUGCAUGGAAAUGAGGACGAAGUGGAGCAGGAGAGGAGGAAAACUGAAGCCAAGAAGAAUUUAAUGAAAGAAAAAAUGAAAUUUUCUACCUUCCUUAAUGAGAUCACUCGGCAGGUACUCAGCCCAAUGAGACUCACCACUCUUGGUGUUACAGAUGUUCAAAGACCCUGUAGUCCAGGGCAGACCUCUCUUAGAUCCAGGACGGCAGACAGCUGCACUGAGAAACCCAGACAGCUGCGAAGUCGGCCUACCAGUGUAGACUCAAUUAACUCCAGCCGGCACUCCCGUACAAGCAACCGUUCCCACUCUGCUCGGCUUUCUCACUCAAGAAGUUUCCACCAUCACAAUCGGCAUACUUCAGAAUCACCCCAUCACAUGUAUCACAGGCCUAAAAGUUGCAAUGACAUCAGCUGUUUACAUAGACGUCACUCAUCUUCUCAAACUUCUCAGCAUUGCUCCCAGUCACCUUCCUGUAAUCACUGCCACCACCAUCACCAAGGAGACCACCGCACCUCUGGUCACCAUCAUCGUCACCUUGAAGACAGCAACAGCCCAAGUCAUCACCAUCACCACAGGGAUCACCAUACACCAAGUCAUCACCAUCUCCACAGACACCACCACAGUCCUGUCUAUCAACAAGGAGAUCACUUUGGAGGCCACCACAACACACCACAUCAUCAUAACUACGGAGACCAUCAUCACAGAGACUGCUACAGCCCAACUCAUCACCAUGGUGAACACCACAGUUCAACUCAGCAUCAUCACCAUGGAGACCACCAUGGUCAUGCUCAUCACCAUCACCACAGAGACAACCAUGGCCAUGCUCAUCACUGUCACCAUGGAGACCACCAUAAUCCAACUCAUCAUCAAGAUGGUUACCACGCUACACCACAUCACCAUGGAAAUAACCAGAGUUCAGGUCACCACCACGGUAGCAACCCAAAUUCAUGCCCUACAACACCACAUCACCAUGGUCACCACACCCUAACCAGUGAUAACGGAGAUCACCCUAGCCCAAAACAUCUGCAUCACCAUGUAGACCACCACAGUGAACCUCAUCUGCAUCACCAUGUAGACCACCACAGUGAACCUCAUCAGCAUCACCAUGGAGACCACCAAAGUCCAGGCCAACACCAUCCCCAAGAAGACCACCAUACCGAAGCUCAUCAGCAUAACCAUGGUGACCACCGUAAUGAAUCUCAUCGUCAUGGAGACCACCACAAUGAAUCUCACCAUCACCAUGGAGACCAACAUGCUGAGGCUCAUGAGCAUCACCAUGGAGAUCACCAUAGUGAAUCUCAUCAGCAUCACUAUGGAGACCACCACAGUCCAGGUUAUCAGCAUCACCAUGGAGACCACCAUGGAGACCACCACAGUGACGCUCAUGAACAUCACCAUGGAGACCACUAUAGUCCUGCCCAUCACCAUCACCAUAGUGACCACCACAGCAAAACUAAUGAACAUCACCAUGGAGACCACCACAGUCCUGGCCAUCACCAUCACCAUGGUGACCACCACAGCAAAGCUAAUGAACAUCACCAUAGUGACCACCACAGCAAAGCUAAUGAACAUCACCAUAGUGACCACCAGAGCAAAGCUAAUGAACAUCACCAUAGUGACCACCACAUCAAAGCUAAUGAACAUCACCAUAGUGACCACCACAUCAAAGCUAAUGAACAUCACCAUAGUGACAACCACAGCAAAGCUAAUGAACAUCUCCAUGGAGACCACCACAGUCCUGGCCAUCACCAUCACCAUGGAGACCACCACAGUCCUGGCCAUCACCAUCACCAUGGAGACCACCACAGUUCAGUCCAUUUGCAUCACCAUGGAGACCAUCACAGUUCAGGCCAUCUGCAUCACCAUGGAGAAAAUGUUAAUACAAGUCAUCACCAUGGACAUCACCCUGAAUCACAUCUCAACCAAUCCCACUCCAAAGAUAAUCUUCUUGACCAUGAUAGCCUCGAUGACCACCACACUCAUUUAAAGGGGCAUUCUGCUGGCAGUUCACCAUCACACAGGCAGCGAGAGUCACUUCACAGAAAGCCGGAUUCCCCCAGGAACACUAGCAGCCCCUCCAGUCAGGAUGAGGAGCGGACAAGCUUCCUCAGCCCAUCAUCACAUAAAGAUAAAGCACAUGAGCUGGGUAGAAUCAUGAUACUACAGGAGCAAAAUGAAGGUCUGCACCAAAGUUUGCUGAAGACAGCAGUGAGGAUGGAGUGUCUAGGAGAGGAAUUCAUGAGCAGCCAAAAGCUGUUGGAGGCAGAACUUCAGAGGACACGCUUGGAGCUCAGCAACCUCACAGAGAGGUUUAAAAGACUACAUGAUAACUACUCCUCCACACAACAGACCAAUAAUCUUCUAGAGCAAAAGCUUCACUCAGUGGCUCAGAAUAUGGAAGGAGAACGCGAGAGAUUGAACCAGCGUAUUUCAGAGCUGACUAAGCAGCUCUCUGCUACAAAAUUUGCCAACGACAUGGAUGCAUUCAAUGUAACAUCAGUGCCACCUGAAACCAACCUUCCUUUUCAACCAGAUGAUGCCAUUGAUCAGAUGGUUCUCCCCAUCGCUCCCCCUCCGGCUGAGUUCAUGGACAGCCAUAACUGUGGAAAGGCCAAAGCCACCGGACAGGAGCAACUUCUGGGUUCGGUUCCAGAGGAGGAGGAAUCUGACUGGUCAGAGAUGGGAGAGGAGACUCCACGGUUAAUACUAACCGGAUCAAGUAGAGGUCAAACAUGGAGACACCAGGAAGGAGACCUGGACAAAGACAGUGAGUCAGGAGGCGAGGAAAUCAUCAGACGACACUCUCCACGCCUAAUGCAGAUACCUCAUCUGCAGUUCACCAUCCACAAUGAGAUUUUAUCAGCAUCCCACACUAAUUCCUGCCCUUCUGGUUUCAAGAAUCUGUCUGAUAGCUUGAAGGGAGAGGGAAGUUACAGGAUCACAACAAGUCCAAGCCUUGGGUCUGCCAUCCUGAUCCGGUCAGCCAGCCUGGAGGAAAUCCCUCUGGCACGGAAUCACAUGCAGAAAGAGCUGAGAGGCACAGAGGCCAUGAUGAACCUGCACCACCCAGGAGACGACGCUAUCGAGGAUUUAGAUAAUGAGAUCAUUCAUCACUGGAGAACGAGCAACAACAGGGACAGCAGGGCUUCAGAGUCAGACAACAGCCUGGCCAGCCUGCAGUCAGCCGAGCAGAUGCUCAACCACUUCAUGUGUGAUCCUCAGUCCAGUGAAGGAAGAGAGGAAGGCAGGGCUGAGGUGCACGGAUGGACAGGAGGGCUUCCAGAUGAGGUGUUGAAAGAUGAGCGAACAAAGCUGUGACAGCAACAUGAAUGCAGUUUACUGUGUCUGAAAGCAUAAUUUAAGUUGAUCUUUAUUCAUUGUGGAAGGCUAAUUAAAGCUGUUUUCAAUUGCUCAUUGGUUCUGCUCUGCUACCAUGUGCUUGAGGGGACUUAAAAAUUAAACCAUAAUUUACUGUAUUUACUUUGAUAUCCUGACAUUAACACCUUUCAAACAACGCAGUGCGCUCCCUAUACUAAUUUAACCAAUGAUAUGUGAUUAUUAUAGCAGACACAUGCUUAGAGUAAUUGGAGGCAGAUGAAUUAAAUAUAUAUGUACUUUUAAACACACCUUAGAUUUGUUCAUUUAAUGCUAAAAUGUGUAUUUCUGUUGUAUAGAUGCAUAUAUAAGUAGAUAUAGUUCCUGUUUUCUCAUCUGAGGAAAAUACAAAAAAAUUAUUUGUUUGUGUUGCUGCGAGAGGCAUUAUUAAUUCAUGUAAGUUGUACUUUUCCUUAAGUAGCCACAGUUAUGCACACCAAAUGCAUUAUCUGAUGCUUUAAAUUGUAAGUGCUCUAAAAAUGUAAAUGUAACUAAAUAUAUAUUUUUUUCCUGUCAGUUGAUGUUCCUGUUGUAAAAAGUAUAUAUAGUAGACAUAUAUAACAUAAAGCAUACUUACAGAUACAGUUCUAAAAUAAAUUUGUCUAUAUACAAAAGCAUUAUCUUAUAUUAUGUAAGUCUUUUCCCUCUUGUUGCAAUAAUUUGGCAAACCAAAUGUGUACAACUAAACAAAUGCAUGUAAAUCUGUCCAUAUAACAGCUAAUAAACCAACAUAAGAAACAGUGAAACAUUGUUUUAACUGUAUACAUUUGUUUUUAUUUUUGAUUAUGUUCUCUCAAGAAGGUACAGAUAGAUAGAUGGGUCUAGGAAUGCUUUGCUGUAAAUUCAAUGAUGUAGUAUAGGUUCUUUAAAUGUAGGGUGAAUGACAGAGGACAUUAUAGAAAGUGGAGAAGAUUCUGUGGUGAACUAAACUUACAUACCCUGUGACACAUGGCUUUGUGAUGACACACCGUUUGUUCAACAAACAGAACUGACAGAGUCAGAAAGUCUGAGUCCAUCUCCUUAAAGGAGAACUGUGACAGUCAGUGGGCAGGUGUCUAGGACCUACUGUUAUCCAGGGUCAGUGCAGUGGUUGCGGGGUCACAAGAGAUGGCUACCCAUUUAUACAUGUAUUGUAUGGAACUGGACAAUGAACAGAAACAAAUAUUUGCAGUUACAUAUUUUGAAUAAAAUAAACUGGAUUCAUGUAUAUGUGGGUCCCAGUUUGGAUAGACAUGAAAUGUUGUGCAGACAUUCAUGAUGCCCAGAGGAUGAAUCUUAAUAAUGAUAAUGAUGAUGACUUUUGGUAUUGAGAUCUGUAGACUCCAGCAACAUCUGAAUGGAUUAAGUUAUAGAAUUCUAUUAUAUAAUUACAUUGACUUUCAAUUAUACAUACUUAAUAUUGGUUUCUGUCUGUUGGUGUUGUGUGUCCAUAUGCAGAGUCCAAGUCAAUUUUAAAUGGGUAAUAAAGUAUUUAAUCUAAUCUGA